AUCCCGGUUUUUCAUCAGUUAGGCCUCACCUUUGUAUUCCGAGGUCCAAAAAUUUGGCGAGGAUCUGAUGAUGAGAUGGCCACAAUUCAGGUGGUUUUCUCAUCAAUAUUUCUAACCAUCCAUUUUAUCUUACAUGUGUAACCCACAUGAUGAGCGGAACGGCCUGAUUUAGAUGACAUGUAUGUGGCAGGGCCUGCCUGAUGAAUGACCUUGAUCUCUCAUAUGUUUGUCACAUUGGAUAUGUAGAUGUAGGAGAUUGUUCCAGUAAAGAUUUGGGAGCAUCCUAGCUGAAUGAUGACAACAGUGAGAUGAAAGGAUGCCCACCUUAUCAAAGAAACAACAAUUUUUUGUUUUGGCUACCAUUUAUAGUAGGGCUACCUUAUUGAUCUUGGCUAUAUUUUGGAUUAUGAUGGGCCCCAUCAAACUGUUGGAACACCAAUAUGUCCCCUAUCAGAUGAUCCUAGUGAUCAAAUUGUUAGAAAAAUAUAAUUACAACCAAUAGUCCACAUUUAAUGGAGGGAUGGCCAGAUUUUUUGGAUAAUCGAUGCAAAGCGAAGAAUCUUUCCAGGGCUUGACAUGCCGUGAAUUCUCUUGAAAGAGGGGGGUGCCUUCGGGAACACGGACAUAAGUGGUGCAUGGCCGUCGUCAGCUCGUUCUCUAAGGUGUUGGGUUAAGUCCCGCGUCGAGUGCAACCCUUGUGUUUAGUUGCCACCAUUGAGUUUGGAACCCUGAAUAGACUGCCGGUGAUAAGUUGGAGGAAGGUGAGGAUGAUGUCAAGUCAUCAUGCCCCUUCUGCCUUGGGCGACACACGUGCUACAAUGGUUGGGACAAAGGGUUGCGAUCCCACGAGGGUGAGCUAACUCCAAAAACCCGUCCGCAGUUUGGAUUGCAGGCUGCAACUCGCCUGCAUGAAGCCGGAAUCGCUAGUAAUCGCCGGUCAGCCAUACGGCAGUGAAUUUGUUCCUGGGCCUUGUACACACCGCUCGUCACACUAUGGGAGCUGGCCAUGCCCGAAGUCGUUACCUUAACCGUAAGGAGGGGGAUGCUGAAGGCGGGGCUAGUGACUGGAGUGAAGUUGUAACAAGGUAGCCGUACUGGAAGGUGCGGCUG
rnacentral:rRNA from 1 species